UACGGGGGGGGCAAGCGUUGUUCGGAAUUACUGGGCGUAAAGGGCUCGUAGGCGGCCAACUAAGUCGGAUGUGAAAUCCCCAGGCUUAACCUGGGAACUGCAUCCGAUACUGGAUGGCUUGGAUUUGGGAGAGGGAUGCGGAAUUCCAGGUGUAGCGGUGAAAUGCGUAGAUAUCGAGAGGAACACCUGCGGCGAAGGCGGGUUGCUGGGCUGACACUGACGCUGACAGCGCGAAAGCUAGGGGAGCGAACGGG
rnacentral:rRNA from 1 species